rnacentral:lncRNA from 1 species
UGAUCAUCGUGCAACUGCGGAGGGAAGCUCAGGCAGAAUGGGAGCUCUUUCGUGUGUGUGUGUGUUCUCAGACAAAAUACUGGACUUCAAAUUAUGGCGCCUUUCUGUGCGUGAUUCAUGGAGGACCGUUGCAGAUGCUUUAGAUCAAACCAUGUUGCUGGCUACUUAUUUUGAGUUCUCUGAAACAUGCAUCCUGUUAGUAUGUGGAAGUGUAGCAGCAGUGGAUGAUGAAAUUCCUAACUGUGCUAGAGUGAAAUAUUCUCUGAAACUUGCAUCCUGUUAGUAUAUUCAGACCUUACUGUGUUCCGUUAUCUUUUGAUAGUGGAAUCCGAUCUAUUAGGAUCGCAUGGAAAACAUUCAGACCUUAUUGCGACAAGCUGAAAGUUGUAUGGCAGAUGCUAGUUAAGUAGCUUGUUGUACAGGGUUAACUGGAACAAGAAUCAAUAGCCAUCAUGUUGCAGUUUGGUAGCAUACUAUUACCUGGGCAUCCCUAAAAUCUUGUGUUAGUGGUCUUGAACUCUUGAUGUAUUCAUCAUGGCCAGUUCAAGGCUGAAGCAUAUUCUGGCCAUCUUGUGUUUGGUAGCAGUUCAAGCAUUCUNNNNNNNNNNNNNNNNNNNNNNNNNNNNNNNNNNNNNNNNNNNNNNNNNNNNNNNNNNNNNNNNNNNNNNNNNNNNNNNNNNNNNNNNNNNNNNNNNNNNNNNNNNNNNNNNNNNNNNNNNNNNNNNNNNNNNNNNNNNNNNNNNNNNNNNNNNNNNNNNNNNNNNNNNNNNNNNNNNNNNNNNNNNNNNNNNNNNNNNNNNNNNNNNNNNNNNNNNNNNNNNNNNNNNNNNUUAGCGCCGGUGGCCGAAAAUCGGCCCAGUUGCGCCCUCGGAUCUUGUUUAGCGCCGGUUUGGGUGAAAUACAGAGCCGGUGAUCCUGCCCUGAACCCAAGCGGCCGGGUGUUGCCUGGGCGCGCCGGCACAAGCGAAAAGUGGCGUGGGACCGCUCUGUCGGCGACUGAAGCCCUUUUUCCUACCGUUUUCUCCCGCUUCCCCCCUAGGCUCCCCUCUCUUCUCCAUUCCUUCCGCCAAACCCUCGCCUCCUCCCUACCCUUCCGCUCGCCAUGCCGCUGAAAAAGUACGUGAUGCCGCGCGUCGCGAUGGAUCCCACAACCGCCAUCGCCGCCGCCACCCAGCCGAAGCAAAGGAAGCCGAGGGCGCCGCUUUCCAAGCCCCCCGGCAUGAGCAACGCCGAGUGGAAGGCGGAUGUGGAGCGCUGGGAGGCCGUCAACGCCGCAGGCGCAACAGGGCCAAGAAGGCCAGGGAAAAAGCGGCGCAAGCUGCGGCUGCGGCGACAGCCGAACAAGCGGAGGCGGCGCGCGCGGCGAUGAUGAAUCCACCUGGUGGGCACCCGUACGCAGCCUGGAGGCAGCAAAGUGUCGGCUCUCCGGCCGGGUUCUCGUCGUCGUCGCACCCAUGGAGCACGUCGUCGCCGGGCUAUGCCGAUGGGGACGCCCGUGCGUGCGCUCUUUCGCUGUGUGCGCGCUGUGCGCGCGCCGUGCACGCCGACUGAUGUUCUUUCCUUCGGCGCAGCUGCUAUGCAUGCUCGCCAUGUUCUGCGAUGAUAACAGCGACGCAGAGUUCAAGUACCACCACGUCUUCAAGCGGAUCGACAAGUGCGAGAAAUGGGCGGCCGUCCGACACACCCUCGCCAAAGCCAAAGAGACGUACAAGCCGGACGCGCCGAUCGUGGGCGCGGCCGACGGGUGCCCGGACGGCAAUAAACGUGCCAAGAAGGCAAAAUACGCCGAGUCGGCUGCCGCGCGCAUGCAAGAGUCCAUCGAAUACUGCCUCGCCGACGCCAAGACCAGGGCCGCCCAGCAAGAAGAGAAAACCGAGGCGAGGUGGGUUGUUUUGAUGACGAACAACACCGUCAAACACGACUUGCUCCAGACCAACGCCGCCGCGAAACUCAAAGCUCAAGAUGCCAAGAAGAGGAAUAACGACCUCGCCUUCUUGAUGGGCGGCGCUGACAUGCUCCAGAGCGGCAACGAGAAGCUCAAGGCGUGGUUCUUGGCGGAGCACGGCUUCAUCCUGAACCAGAUACCGGCGACGCCGCCGCCCAGCCCGCCGGCUCAUGACGAUGCCUCCGCGACGCCCAGCCCCAUCGACGAUGCCUCCGCCGUACCCAGCAGCACAGAAGCCGCGCGGACCAGCCCGGAAGCCGCGCCGACUCCUUCCAGCCCGCGUACGCCGCCGCCGACGCCGCCGGAGGUUGAGCUUGACGUUUGAUGUACACCUUCCGCGUCCUUCCUUUUCUGUACGCCGAACUACUGCGUGUCCUUUUAUUUGAUUGCCGAACUGUGGCACCGAAUCGCGAACUAUUGCGAUGAUCGCCGAUUUGUUGUUUCUUUGAGCGGGAAUGAUGGAGUUCGAAUAUGGGGCGCCUUGGGGGGCGGCACCUGGGGGCGUGGCUGGGGAAAAACGAACCCCAGGGACCGAUCUAGCGUCGGCUCGUCCCCCAGGCCGCUUUUUUUCGGCACCCUGAGGGGCCGAACGGAUGGAGAUGCUCUUAGAGCCCCUUUGUGCGAACCUCUGAACUCCACCUCCGGUCAUGGGCCCUCGCCUCGACACGGUCCUAACUGCCACGCUAUUGCCGGUCGAUAGUUAACGUUGCGUCUGGUGUGUGGUGGCUACGACUCGUUCAGAAUAACUGAUUACUAGAUCAGGAUCGCGCCUGGCGCGAGGGUGCCGAUCAAAGCAUUUUGCCGAAGCACGUAAUACUAUGUCAGUAGGAAACCUGGUAUAGCAUUUGCACUUAUACAGAAUCAAGCUCAGUGCGUACAUACGACCACGGAAGCGCGCCUUGGCGCGUGCUGCCCAUCCAAGCCUCGUGACCCAGUGUGUAUAAAUCUUGUACAUCAAGAGAAAAUUACAAAAUUCGUGUAUAAAUCUUGUACAUUCAAAGAAAAUUACAACACUCUUUUAGGACUAAUCACAAACAGUAGAGAUAUAUGCUAAAAACAUGGUAAGCUGAGGAUACUAAGUCAAUAGGGUAAUUAAUUUUGCAAGCACAUCACAAAAUUUGUUUCAAAAAGCCAGAUUGGCAGUGCCAGAUAAGACAACUGGUUCGCAUCAAGUUCAGUACAAAGCAAAAAGAUUCAGGAACCAUGCAUCAUCUACAACAUAAUAUAACUAAAAUAGAAUUUUUUUUACCUAUAGUCCAUUUCCUUAUUUAUAAGAGAUACACAGAGCAAAUAGUCUCAUAUCUUCAGUUGCGCGACAAAAUAAAAGAAGAUUCAUGUACAUAUCAAAACUAAGAUUCUCCAAAUACCAUCUCUCGGUCAUGAAAUAUAUUCUUCAGUUGCACACCAAUAGUUGCCAUUCCAGGAUAAUUUCAAAUCCAGUCUUCCACAUACCCUUUGUCCAAGACCAAAAGAAGUGCACAAAUGGUGAGCGUUAUAAGGAAUUGUUCUUGGGUCUGUACAAAACAUACUAACCCCAUUAAAAUUACGUGCAUGGAGGCGAGAUGCAAGUACGAUAAUUAACCAACUCAACUGCGUUAAUCCUCAAAUUAAAAUUCCAGGAAGAACUUGAUCUUUAAAUCUACUUCAUCAAUGCCACAUCUUCUACAUGGUUUCUCAUCUACUGGUUGUGAGUAGAAAAUAGAGCAUUAAACCUAGACCCAUCCUCUGAUUAUGUACGUGUCACACCAGAUUACUACACUUGGAACCUUUAUAUAUAUAUGGGGAUAGAAUGGAGAGGGUAGGGAGGGAGCAGAGAUGGAGGUACCUAGAGGCAUUCCAGGAAAUAUUUUCCAUGAUAUAGAUCACGAACACCAUCCUUUCAUGCGACCACAACAAGAUGAUCUGAAAUAAGGUGGUAAGCGGAUUAAGCAACAAUCUUAUUUUGGAUAAUAGCUUAUUUACCAGUUAUCACACGCAGUUGAGGCACUCCCAUGGAGCUAUCAAGUUCUUAUGAGGAAACCUUUUAUAAACUCCAAUGUAUUGAAGGGUUAUUAACUAAAAGCACACACAAAAUAUAAAUUUUAUGAUUCCUGGAUAUAACUCGCAUCUUCUGGAUCAAAAACCAUUAACAAACAUUUUGGAUCAAUUUGUGUAUAGUGUAACCACAUGAAAUCUCAAUAACUGUGAAAAUUGCGGAGUAGCGCAUGUUUCAGAAAAAUGAUAAGAGGUUCCCUAAUCCCUACCACAACGUGAUGAAGCUUUGAAACUACAUAUACCAAGAUUUUCACUGGACCAUUCAAGACUUGGACAAAAGAUACAAAAGUUGCAUCUAACUCCUCCUUCUAGGGAUUCCAUAAUAAUAACAAAAUACUUCAAAAUAUAAUAAUCCAAAAAUCAUAUAUAAGAACAAUGCAAAUCAAUCUUGCAGUACCUCCUAAAACAUUUUACAGAAAAUCCAACCAAACAUUCUCACGCUGUUAGAAACUACUUUAUUACAAGCAUACCCAAGGAACAAUAUAAUGACCCAGACAUAAUCUAUCUAAGACACUCCUAGACGGGCUUUAGAACCCAGACACCGAAUUGACCAGCUGUGAAUACAAUAAUUGUAAUUGAACACUUGUAUUUAUACCGGCGACAUCAACCUGCCCGCCUGCAUGUACCAGAGGCCAGGCAGGCUGAGCAAGCGCACCUGCAAGCACCAUAACCGACUGCGCAACACCUUUAUACGCUAACAUGCUAUCGUAAUUGUAAUCUGCAACAACAAACCCAUAUAUCCCUUGUAAAAAUGGGUUUGACACCGCACCACGUCAUCCCUAGUAAGAACAUCAAUCUCCACCCCUCCAAGCAGACAACCAUCGGAUGCCACCUCUCGAACAUAAGAAUGAAACGGCAAUCGACAAUAGCUCGCAACAGCCUCAAGCAGAGGCACACAGAAAGAACUGACAAUAAACAUGCCUGUAAUAAUUAAUUAUUAAGGAGCAACCGAAAAAAUACCAACGCAGACCAUACAAAGGGAAGAACACAGAAGCCUAUGAAAUAAAUAGUAAUAAACACAACUAAAUAGCAAGCAAUAGGAAACAUUGCAAGGCACGACUUACCCUAUGAACCAAGCAGCAGCUCCACCAGUAAGUAGUUUCCAACAACAAAGUGGAACCCAAGAACUCAGUUGUAACUGAAACAAGCUGCCAAACAGAAAGUAAGGACCAUGAAAGAAAGCAAGGCAAAUUAAUAAACAGAGAACCAUAUGUAGAAGCAAUGAAGUCUGUAAUUUUUUUUUGACUAUGUACUGCAAGGCAACAGCCUCACAUUUCUUUAUUAAAAUUUAACAAGAGGUUUACAUAAUUACAGUGAACCAAAAAAAAACA